UUGAACUCAGGACCUUUGGAAGU
rnacentral:piRNA from 1 species